rnacentral:rRNA from 1 species
UGCAGUCGNNCGGCAGCACGGAGCUUGCUCUGGUGGCGAGUGGCGAACGGGUGAGUAAUGCGUCGGAACGUAUCCAAUAAUGGGGGAUAACGCAGCGAAAGCUGUGCUAAUACCGCAUACGCCCUCCGGGGGAAAGCAGGGGAUCUUCGGACCUUGCGUUAAUGGAGCGGCCGACGUCUGAUUAGCUAGUUGGUAGGGUAAAGGCCUACCAAGGCGACGAUCAGUAGCUGGUCUGAGAGGAUGAUCAGCCACACUGGGACUGAGACACGGCCCAGACUCCUACGGGAGGCAGCAGUGGGGAAUUUUGGACAAUGGGCGCAAGCCUGAUCCAGCCAUUCCGCGUGAGUGAAGAAGGCCUUCGGGCUGUAAAGCUCUUUCAGGAGGGAAGAAACGAUUGUGGCUAAUACCCAUGAUUAAUGACGGUACCUUCAGAAGAAGCACCGGCUAACUACGUGCCAGCAGCCGCGGUAAUACGUAGGGUGCGAGCGUUAAUCGGAAUUACUGGGCGUAAAGCGUGCGCAGGCGGUUUUUCAAGUCUGAUGUGAAAUCCCCGGGCUUAACCUGGGAACUGCGUUGGAAACUGAAAGACUAGAGUGCGGCAGAGGGGGGUAGAAUUCCACGUGUAGCAGUGAAAUGCGUAGAUAUGUGGAGGAAUACCGAUGGCGAAGGCAGCCCCCUGGGUCGACACUGACGCUCAUGCACGAAAGCGUGGGUAGCAAACAGGAUUAGAUACCCUGGUAGUCCACGCCCUAAACGAUGUCAACUAGUUGUUGGGGAGGGAGACCUCCUUAGUAACGCAGCUAACGCGUGAAGUUGACCGCCUGGGGAGUACGGUCGCAAGAUUAAAACUCAAAGGAAUUGACGGGGGCCCGCACAAGCGGUGGAUUAUGUGGAUUAAUUCGAUGCAACGCGAAAAACCUUANCUACCCNU